rnacentral:lncRNA from 1 species
ACACGAUGUGAGAGGGUUUUAAUAGAUAUCUGGACAACGGAGUCUGGACAGGCUUCCCGAGAACGGAAUUUUGAGUCAGUCUAAGCGAUGAGAAGGAGGGAGACUGCUGGGUGAAGGAGGAGAGGUGAAGACAGGCCAGGCAAAGAAGACAGCUGGCGUCAAAACAUGGCGUCCCGGCAGGCUAGGCAUGUUCACGCAACACUGGAACGUUCCCUAUGCUGAGGCUGAGGCUGCACCGGAGGAAGGGAGAUUGUUACAAGAAUGGCUCCCACUCAAUCGGCUUUCCAGUCUCCAGCCUGGGUGCAGAGCCCUCCCACACUGAUGGCCAUGUGACUUGCUUUGACCAAUGGCACAUGAGGAAACAUGUUACAAGCAGAGAAUUAAAAAAUGCUUGGACGUGAGGCUUGCCCUCUCUUGCUCCCUGAGAAUGCCGUAUGAGGAAGCCUGAGCUAGCCCACUGGAGGCGAAGGAGCAGAGAGUCGUAGCCCAGCUGAGGCCUCCUAGAUCCAUCAGCUUUCAGCCAGUCUACAAACUGACUGUCACCACAAGAGUGACCCUACACAAAACCCAUCCAGCUGUGCUCAGCCCAAAUUACUAACCCAAAG